GAACAAAAUGAGGGAAUGACUCCGAAGUAAAAUCACGACCAUGUCUGCCUCAUCCUCGACUGGAUGAUCUGGUCCGAGUAGAAGAGAUCGGGGGACAGAAGACGAUAGGCUGAACAAGGAUAGGCUCAGUGGAUACAGAGGGUCUAGACUAGAGCUGAGUCCUAAUGGCAUCUAACUGAGAUAAGGCACCUCUCAUUGAAACUCUGAGCCCCUCA
rnacentral:lncRNA from 1 species